rnacentral:lncRNA from 1 species
CCUGCCCACCCGUGAGAAAUCAACGUUGACAAUAGCAUAAUAUAUUAUACAGCAAUGUUUCGGUGGUUCCACGAUGAGAUGCUACCGAUGACAUGAGAAUAGGAUGUAUGGGGAAUUUCAAAUAGGCAGUCUUGACAAAAUAUAUUGCAGAGUAGUACGUUGGUGGUUUGGCGAUGAGAUGUGCAAUAGAUGCCAUGAAAAUAGGUUGUAUCUGGAAAUUGAGCUAAGCAAUAUCGGCCCAAUAUAGUAUCCAUGUUCUGAGAAUAGGAUGUAUGGGGAAUUUGAGAUGAACAGUAUCAGCAGGAAUGGGUUCUGAU